UCCCUGGUGGUCAAGUGGUUUGAGCUUGGCACUUUUACUGCUGUGGGCCUGGGUUCAAUCCCCGGUCAGGGAA
rnacentral:tRNA from 1 species